rnacentral:rRNA from 1 species
GUUUACGGCCAUACCACCCUGAAAGUGCCCGAUCUCAUGUGAUCUGAGAAGCUAAGCAGCAUCCAGCCUGGUUAGUACUAGGAUGGGAGGAGAUUGAGGCCCUGGGAGGU